GCGGGAAUAGCUCAGUUGGUAGAGCGCAACCUUGCCAAGGUUGAAGUCGCGAGUUCGAAUCUCGUUUCCCGCUCAA
rnacentral:tRNA from 1 species